rnacentral:rRNA from 1 species
UACGGAGGGAGCUAGCGUUGUUCGGAAUUACUGGGCGUAAAGCGCACGUAGGCGGCUAUUCAAGUCGGGGGUGAAAGCCCGGGGCUCAACCCCGGAACAGCCCUCGAAACUAGAUAGCUAGAAUCUUGGAGAGGCGAGUGGAAUUCCGAGUGUAGAGGUGAAAUUCGUAGAUAUUCGGAAGAACACCGGUGGCGAAGGCGACUCGCUGGACAAGUAUUGACGCUGAGGUGCGAAAGCGUGGGGAGCAAACAGG